AAAGGAAUGUUGUCUAAUUAUGAAGACUAAGUUUAACUCCAGAAAAAGAGAGAAGAAAACAUAACUCUUUCCCUUCACUGGGGUGGAAUUUCCAUAUUUUUCAGAUGCUCAGGAGACAUAGGACACUGAAUUGACAAUAGUCAUUAAAGAACUGAAAGAUCAUCACCCAGAAGGCAGCAGAGAGAUGCAUGCCCUGACAGGGCUUGUUAACCCUCAGCCAGAGGACCUGAUGAUGUCUUAUACAAAGGUUCCAGAAGGAGGCCUCUGCAAAACUAAUCUCUCCAGAAACCAGGAGGGGAAGGCCAGCUACUCACUCACCCAAGACAAAGUCCAAAGGAGAAGAUCCAAGAGUCAAGGUCUCAAGUCAAAACCAAUGUCCCAGUCCAAAGCCACCUCCAAGAGGCAAGUCACCAGCUAAAGUUGCAAGCCAAAGAUUAAAUACUAUGUAUUGGUUCUAAGGCAGUAGAAUGGUAAGAAAUGGUAAGAAGUAGGUAAUGGGGGUUAAGUGACUUGCCCAGGGUCACAUAGCUAGGAAAAGUUUAAGGCCAGAUUUGAACCCAGGACCACCCAUCUGUAAAGAUUAAAAUUUAGGGAAUACAGGGAGACUGAGGCAUCUGAGGCAGAAAUUAGUUUCUUUCUGCAAGCAGUAUUAUAUUUUUUUAGAGGUUUAUUGAAGAUUAAGGAUUAAAGAAAAUACAGGAGAAGAGACACGUGUCCAGGCCAUAGAGAGGCCUAGACACAACCUCAUCUACAUUAUGAAAAAAAAAAGCCACGCCUGCCCCAAAGCGGAAGUCCAAGCGCCAAGAGAGCCAAGAGCCCUCAAAAGCCUUUGAAUCAGCUUAAAUACCUUCUCGAUCUCGGCUGAGGUGAGAUUACAAGGCAUUUUGGGGAAGUGGAGCAAGGAAUUGUGGGAAUUGUAGUACUAUAUUCGAAUCUAUUUUUUACAUUUCCCUCUGUGAUCAUUUUGGAAAAAUUAAUUUUUCCCCAAAAGGAUCAUAAAAACAUAAUCAACUUAAAAGAUUACAAUAAUGUGAGGAUAAGAGAGAAAAAAAGAAUAAAACCAAUAAUUGCUGAACA
rnacentral:lncRNA from 1 species